CAGAACCAUGCCUAUGAUACUGGGAUACUGGAACGUCCGCGGGCUGACACACCCGAUCCGCCUGCUCCUGGAAUACACAGACUCAAGCUAUGAGGAGAAGAGAUACGCCAUGGGCGACGCUCCCGACUAUGACAGAAGCCAGUGGCUGAAUGAGAAGUUCAAACUGGGCCUGGACUUCCCCAAUCUGCCCUACUUAAUUGAUGGAUCGCGCAAGAUUACCCAGAGCAAUGCCAUAAUGCGCUACCUUGCCCGCAAGCACCACCUGUGUGAGUGGGGCUGGCUGCAGG
rnacentral:lncRNA from 1 species